AGUGAACGCUGGCGGUAGGCCUAACACAUGCAAGUCGAACGGCAGCACAGUAAGAGCUUGCUCUUACGGGUGGCGAGUGGCGGACGGGUGAGGAAUACAUCGGAAUCUACUUUUUCGUGGGGGAUAACGUAGGGAAACUUACGCUAAUACCGCAUACGACCUACGGGUGAAAGCAGGGGAUCUUCGGACCUUGCGCGAUUGAAUGAGCCGAUGUCGGAUUAGCUAGUUGGCGGGGUAAAGGCCCACCAAGGCGACGAUCCGUAGCUGGUCUGAGAGGAUGAUCAGCCACACUGGAACUGAGACACGGUCAAGACUCCUACGGGAGGCAGCAGUGGGGAAUAUUGGACAGUGGGGGCAAGCCUGAUCCAGCCAUACCGCGUGGGUGAAGAAGGCCUUCGGGUUGUAAAGACCUUUUGUUGGGAAAGAAAAGCAGCAGGUUAAUACCCCGCUGUUCUGACGGUACCCAAAGAAUAAGCACCGGCUAACUUCGUG
rnacentral:rRNA from 1 species